AGGACAUGUACAUCCUUCGUGAAAUCACUCGGCUUAACCGAGCGGCGUGCGGAGGACACGGCAUGUCUUGGGAGCGGGAGGAGUCAGAGGUAUUUGAGGGGGACCGGUAAAAUGGUAUAAUCCCUCGAAGACCGCCGAUGGCGAAAGCAUCUGACUAGAACGUGUCCGACUGUGAGGGACGAAAGCCAGGGGAGCGAACCGGAUUAGAUACCCGAGUAGUCCUGGCCGUAAACGCUGCGAGUUAGGCGUUGCAUUACCUUUGUGGUUUUGCAGUGUCGAAGUGAAGACGCUAAACUCGCCGCCUGGGGA
rnacentral:rRNA from 1 species